rnacentral:rRNA from 1 species
GACAGAGAGUGCAAACGUUGCUCGGAAUCACUGGGCGUAAAGGGCGUGUAGGCGGGAAGGAUAGUCAGAUGUGAAAGCCCUGGGCUCAACCCAGGAACUGCAUUUGAAACUCCCUUUCUUGAGUGUCGGAGAGGAAAGCGGAAUUCCUGGUGUAGAGGUGAAAUUCGUAGAUAUCAGGAGGAACACCGGUGGCGAAGGCGGCUUUCUGGACGACAACUGACGCUGAGACGCGAAAGCGUGGGGGGCGAACAGG